GGAUGAACGCUAGCGGCAGGCUUAACACAUGCAAGUCGAGGGGCAGCAUGACGGAACUUUCGGGUUUUGUUGAUGGCGACCGGCGCAAGGGUGCGUAACGCGUGAGCAACUUGCCCGUUUCUGGGGAAUAACCCGUUGGAAACGACGACUAAUACCCCCAUGGUAUCAGGUUCAGGCAUCUAUAUCUGAUUAAAGAAUUUCGGAAACGGAUAGGCUCGCGUGACAUUAGCUAGAUGGCGGGGUAACGGCCCACCAUGGCGACGAUGUCUAGGGGUUCUGAGAGGAAGGUCCCCCACACUGGAACUGAGACACGGUCCAGACUCCU
rnacentral:rRNA from 1 species